GGACGAUCAAAUCCAACGGCUUUAUUUUAUUAUUGUGUGUGUAUGUAUAUGUUUCUAGGUCAGAACGAUAUCGGAUUUCUUAGGCUACCGAACGAUAAAUCUCCUUUCUUCGAUUCCGGUUAUUAGAGGAAGAAGAGUUAACAGAUUUAAGAAGUAACUUAUGCAGAAAUAUAAAGGGGAAAGACAAGAAACGCAAGAACUUAUAGUCGAGCAGGAAGGAAGAAAGAAAGGCAGGAAGGCAGGAAGGAAGAUAGGAAGAAAGGAAGGAAGGAAGGAAGGAAGGAAGGAAGGAAGGAAGGGCGAAUGGGUGUGUUGGGAGGGAUAGGAGGAUGGAAAGUGGGAUAGAGGGCGGCCAUGGUGUUGCUGACCCGACGACCGCUCUAACCUUCCGUCCCGACGCCCCGCAUCCCGAUCACCACCAUCGAGAAUCCCGUCCUCUAUUUCGAACUGUAGUCCUAGACCAAUAAACGACUUUUGAAUAGUA